GCUCUGCCGGCUGCAGCCUUUGAGAUCUGGACGUUGGGUGUUUCCUGUUGGAAAAUCCCCCCUCAGGAUCCUGCAGCCUUGAUUGUAGAGCUCCAGCCAUGAGACUGGCAGAACCCAUCAGCAGGACAGUGUGAUUUAAGCCAUGCCGUCAAGAACGGGACAGCAAAAUUUCUCCUCUCACGUGGGGCCUGAGCCCUCAGUGAGCCUUGGAGAAAACCAGGUGAUAAUUCACAUCCUAAAGCACAGGAGGAAGCUAAGCCCUUCCAGGAAGGAGUCGGGGUGUGUUGGAAGUCAGUAAUAACGGAUGCCAUGGCAACAUAACAUUCAGGAAGUCACCGAGCACUUUGUAAGGAGACCAGCUUCAUUUAGGUGGGGAGCAUUGAGCCUCAGAACCUCCAGAAAAGAGAGGUGCCGUGGGACAGAGCUGUGCAGUGUCUUUAUAACUCACAUCUUACAAAGAUUCCGUAGUGUUCAAUCCCACUCUUGCUUAGCCACGGCCAAAGGAAAGGAGGAGCCUCUUGUGGCGCGUUCAGCGCCUCUACUUUGGCCAUUCUGCCAGAGCCAAAACUCUCACAUUGUGAAGGAAUUUUUGGUGUCCCCAAAAGCCAGAGAGAUCAGGUAACACGGUACAAAAGAGAGUAGUUUUAUAUCUGAGAGGAAUCUGUUUGUGAACUUUUAGACUCCAUAAGGAAAACAGAAGACACCCCCAAAAGAGGGGUAAAUGGCAUCUUUUUUUCUGAGUUCCUCAGGGAGUCUGAACCAUUAGAAGCAGCAGCUUUUACCUGGGACAAAGUUGGCAGUUUGUCUUUUGAACUUUUUAAACUAAAGAUACCCUUCUACUAAGUGAAAUCUGCAGGCCUUAGCUAAGGUUAUAGCUUAAUCAGGGAAGCACGAGGUGUCUCCAAAGAGCUGGAAGACAGUUUUUAUGCCAUCCAGAAGAGCCACAAGAACAGCUCACAGAAGGAAAGUCUCACUAGCCAUAAACCAGGUGUGACCCACGUUUCUGUGCAGCCAUGGUUUUUGUGUCUCCGUUUCUCAGCUGACUAUUACAUGUAAAAGUCCAGAAGCUUCCUGUGCCUCUCACGGGUAGAAGAAAACAAGAAGUUAAAGGUUGUCCAUGUAAUAAAUGGCAAAAGUUACAUAAAAUCAAGCCAAACCUACUCCCUGAUGGGGAACUGAACCCAGGCUGUGAGGGUGAAGCACAGAAUUUCAGCCGUUGGGCUGCAGGAUGAAUUGGCUUGUGCUGUCAUUCCCACAGGAACAGCGUAUGGAGGACUUUUAUUCUUUAGGACAGAUUUUGCUCUUUAAUUUUGUCAAGAGCAUUUUUAAGGCUAGCCCUUCUAUGUCCUUCUUUUAAUCUAAUUCUUACACUAAUAGAAAAAGGCAAUUGUUUAGCAUAAGAGAUUUCUAAAAUCCAUCUUUCAAUUUAAAGGAUCCAUGUUUGGCCAUUAUUUUUCAAUGAUGUGCGCUUAUUCUAAAGCAGCUUGGUCUAAUGGUUUCUUCAGGGAAAAAACAGUUCCAAAGAUCCCCUCAUUCUUCCAGAAACAGGCAAAGAAAAAGAUGACAAAAGCCCCUUGUUCUUCCCAAGCUCACGGUUCUUGGUCCCUGAGUCAGCAGAUUGGCAGGAGAUGGAAAGGGGAAUUUACACAGGCAGGGCUUUGGGGGGUUGCGUGAACAGAAGGGGGACGGUGCUGGUGAAGAGUGGUGAGGCUGGCUGUCCCAGCAGAGGGCUGGCAGCUUUUGAAGGCAGAGAGGAAGCUUGGUGCCAGCACUGAAGUCACAGCAUGUGGAGGCAGAGUUCUGUUGGCAGCUGCCACUCCGGUGAUCAUGCUUGUUCAUACCUUGCACAUCUCCUUAGCAUUUUAAAUCUCCACCCUUGGGCGUGAUUUUUAGCAUUAAAAUGAGGCAAAAGGUCUAUGAACAUUCAACUUUGGGCUUCAUCUUGGCAGCAGCCAGUUUGUGCUAGCUUUGACAGGGGCAGGGAUCCCUGGCCCAGCGGUUGCCGCGUCUAUUAAAGCAGUCAGAACUACCUCCCAUUGAAGCCGCUGUUAAUCAUUUUCAAAGCUUUCCUUCAGUAUCUUAAGCAGACUUAAGCUUUGGCUCAAGGCUCAGGCAGGAAGCCAAAGCCCACCUCCUAUACUAUCUGAUUGUGACUGGGACGUUUUAUGAUAACACAGGACAGAGAGCAACAAGGGAAAACCCUGUCUCUGGGAGGGAAAAAAGGAUUAAAAAUGAAUUUAUAUCACGAAGUACCAAAGUCACUGUAUUAAGACUAGUCAUAAAAAUCCUUUUUCUCUCAUCAGUCAAAACAAAUAAUGAUUUUUACUGUUCGCCCAACUGGAUUGUACAGAGAGGCCAGGAUCCUUGGUUGGGAUACAUUUUAUUUAUAUAUAUGUGUGUGUGUGAGAGAAAGAGAGAUUUUUUUAAAAACCCUUUUUGCCUGCUGAUCAGGUUCUUGGUUUUUUCUCUACUCCAGUUUUCUGGAAGAACAGAGCAGCUUCAGACUGUGGGAAACAAAGUGCUUUUCCCCUUAAAGGUUUACUGUAAAAAAAAAAAAAAAAUCACU